AUACGGAGGGUGCAAGCGUUAAUCGGAAUUACUGGGCGUAAAGCGUUCGUAGGCGGUUUGUUAAGCAAGAUGUGAAAGCCCUGGGCUCAAUCUGGGAACUGCAUUUUGAACUGGCAAGCUAGAAUACUGUAGAGGGUGGUGGAAUUUCCAGUGUAGCGGUGAAAUGCGUAGAGAUUGGAAGGAACAUCAGUGGCGAAGGCGGCCACCUGGACAGAUAUUGACGCUGAGGAACGAAAGCGUGGGGAGCGAACAGGAUUAGAAACCCGGGUAGUCC
rnacentral:rRNA from 1 species